GUCCUUUUGAAAAUGAUUUAAGGUCUAAUCUGCUCAAUGAAUAAUUAAAUAGCCGCAGUAUUCUAACUGUGCGAAGGUAGCGUGAUAAUUAGUUUCUUAAUUAGAAACUUGUAUGAAUGAUUUGACAAGAAAAUUUCUGUCUCUUUCUAAUUAUUUAUAAAUUUAACUUUUAAGUUAAAAGGCUUAAAUGUUUAUAAAAGACGAGAAGACCCCAUAGAGUUUAAUUUUUUAUUUUAUUUAAGAAUAAUUAAAAUAUUUAAAAAAAUUAGUUGGGGUAACUUAAAGAUAAAAUAAAUUCUUUAAAUUUUGAAUCAUUGAUUUAUGAAUUAAAAAUCUAAAUUAUUAAAUUUAAAUAAAGUUACCUUGGGGAUAACAGCGUAAUUUCUUUUUAGAGUUCUUAUCAAAUAGGAAGAUUGCGACCUCGAUGUUGGAUUAAAAUUUAUUUUAGGUGUAGAAGCUUGAAUAUUAAGUCUGUUCGACUUUUAAAAUUUA
rnacentral:rRNA from 1 species